UAGGGAAUCUUCCGCAAUGGGCGAAAGCCUGACGGAGCAACGCCGCGUGAGUGAUGAAGGUCUUCGGAUCGUAAAACUCUGUUAGUAGGGAAGAACAAACGUGUAAGUAACUAUGCACGUCUUGACGGUACCUAAUCAGAAAGCCACGGCUAACUACGUGCCAGCAGCCGCGGUAAUACGUAGGUGGCAAGCGUUAUCCGGAAUUAUUGGGCGUAAAGCGCGCGUAGGCGGUUUUUUAAGUCUGAUGUGAAAGCCCGCGGCUCAACCGUGGAGGGUCAUUGGAAACUGGAAAACUUGAGUGCAGUAGAGGAAAGUGGAAUUCCAUGUGUAGCGGUGAAAUGCGCAGAGAUAUGGAGGAACACCAGUGGCGAAGGCGACUUUCUGGUCUGUAACUGACGCUGAUGUGCGAAAGCGUGGGGAUCAAACAGG
rnacentral:rRNA from 1 species